GUAGGGAAUAUUGGACAAUGGGCGCAAGCCUGAUCCAGCCAUGCCGCGUGAGUGAAGAAGGCCCUCGGGUUGUAAAGCUCUUUUGUCCGGAAAGAAAAGCAUCGGGUUAAUACCCCGGUGUUCUGACGGUACCGGAAGAAUAAGCACCGGCUAACUUCGUGCCAGCAGCCGCGGUAAUACGAAGGGUGCAAGCGUUACUCGGAAUUACUGGGCGUAAAGCGUGCGUAGGUGGUUCGUUAAGUCUGAUGUGAAAGCCCUGGGCUCAACCUGGGAAUGGCAUUGGAAACUGGCGGACUGGAGUGCGGUAGAGGGUAGCGGAAUUCCCGGUGUAGCAGUGAAAUGCGUAGAGAUCGGGAGGAACAUCCGUGGCGAAGGCGGCUACCUGGACCAGCACUGACACUGAGGCACGAAAGCGUGGGGAGCAAACA
rnacentral:rRNA from 1 species